rnacentral:rRNA from 1 species
CCUACGGGUGGCAGCAGUGGGGAAUAUUGGGCAAUGGGCGCAAGCCUGACCCAGCAACGCCGCGUGAAGGAAGAAGGCUUUCGGGUUGUAAACUUCUUUUCUCAGGGACGAAGCAAGUGACGGUACCUGAGGAAUAAGCCACGGCUAACUCCGUGCCAGCAGCCGCGGUAAUACGGAGGAUGCGAGCGUUAUCCGGAUUUAUUGGGUUUAAAGGGUGCGUAGGCGGAGCGUUAAGUCAGUGGUCAAAUUGAGGGGCUCAACCCCUUCCCGCCAUUGAAACUGGCGCUCUUGAGUGGAAGAGAAGUAUGCGGAAUGCGUGGUGUAGCGGUGAAAUGCAUAGAUAUCACGCAGAACCCCGAUUGCGAAGGCAGCAUGCCGGCUUCCGACUGACGCUGAAGCACGAAAGCGUGGGGAUCGAACAGGAUUAGAUACCCCUGUAGUC